rnacentral:lncRNA from 1 species
UCCAGAUAAGAAUAAUUGCUAACAUGAUUAUUUAGUAAGAGUCAGAAAUCAUGCCAAGAACAUUCCAUGGAUACUUACCUAAACAUCAUCACAGUCCUACAAGCCAAUAUUCCUGGGGCAUGUACCAUGAACCAGGCUCUGUGCCAGCUCCCGCAGAUGCAAGAUGAAGACCUUGCCCUUGCCCUUGAGUGGAUGGAGAGGACACAGAUGGACAAGCACCUAGAUGAGAUGAGAGGUGUAGGGGUUGGGCUUAGCUCUGCCUGUGGGAACCUGGGCAGGCUUCAUCAGGAGGUGGCGCUCAAGUCCAACUGAAAAUAUGGAUCUCCCAGGAGUGUCGAAGAUGACUCUGUGCCUGCACUCUAUGAACCUUCUGAAAUGAAGGGGCCUGGAGAUGCCAGCACCAUUGAGUUCCAGGGCACAGAUAUUCAUUGGAUAAUUACUACAUUACAUCCAUCAUCUGAUUUACUUUCCAUGUGUAACUGGAUGAGGUGAGUAUUUUCAUCCUCAUUUCAGAUACGAAAAAUCAGAGGCUCGAAAAGUUGAAUUGAUUUGCCCAAGGCCACAUAGGAAAGGGAAGAGAAAGGAUUUGA